UACGGAGGGUGCAAGCGUUAUCCGGAUUCACUGGGUUUAAAGGGUGCGUAGGCGGAUGCAUAAGUCAGUGGUGAAAUCCCCGAGCUUAACUUGGGAACUGCCGUUGAUACUAUGUAUCUUGAAUGUCGUGGAGGUAAGCGGAAUAUGUCAUGUAGCGGUGAAAUGCUUAGAUAUGACAUAGAACACCGAUUGCGAAGGCAGCUUACUACACGAUGAUUGACGCUGAGGCACGAAAGCGUGGGGAGCAAACAGG
rnacentral:rRNA from 1 species